AUUGAACGCUGGCGGCAGGCCUAACACAUGCAAGUCGAACGAGUGGCGGACGGGUGAGUAAUGUCUGGGAAACUGCCUGAUGGAGGGGGAUAACUACUGGAAACGGUAGCUAAUACCGCAUACCAUCGGAUGUGCCCAGAUGGGAUUAGCUAGUAGGUGGGGUAAUGGCUCACCUAGGCGACGAUCCCUAGCUGGUCUGAGAGGAUGACCAGCCAAACGGGAACUGAGACACGGUCCAGACUCCUACGGGAGGCAGCAGUGGGGAAUAUUGCACAAUGGGCGCAAGCCUGAUGCAGCCAUGCCGCGUGUAUGAAGAAGGCCUUCGGGUUGUAAAGUACUUUCAGCGAGGAGGCGUUACCCGCAGAAGAAGCACCGGCUAACUCCGUGCCAGCCGCCGCGGUAAUAC
rnacentral:rRNA from 1 species